rnacentral:rRNA from 1 species
AGUGAACGCUGGCGGUAGGCCUAACACAUGCAAGUCGAACGGCAGCACAGUAAGAGCUUGCUCUUACGGGUGGCGAGUGGCGGACGGGUGAGGAAUACAUCGGAAUCUACUUUUUCGUGGGGGAUAACGUAGGGAAACUUACGCUAAUACCGCAUACGACCUACGGGUGAAAGCAGGGGAUCUUCGGACCUUGCGCGAUUGAAUGAGCCGAUGUCGGAUUAGCUAGUUGGCGGGGUAAAGGCCCACCAAGGCGACGAUCCGUAGCUGGUCUGAGAGGAUGUUCCGCCACAGUGGAACUGAGAAACGGUCCCGACCCCUACGGGAGGCAGCAGUGGGGAAUAUUGGACAAGGGGCGCAAGCCUGAUCCAGCCAUACCGCGUGGGUGAAGAAGGCCUUCGGGUUGUAAAGCCCUUUUGUUGGGAAAGAAAAGCAGCAGGUUAAUACCCCGCUGUUCUGACGGUACCCAAAGAAUAAGCACCGGCUAACUUCGU